UACGAAGGGUGCAAGCGUUACUCGGAAUUACUGGGCGUAAAGCGUGCGUAGGCGGUUUGUUAAGUCCGCUGUGAAGGCCCUGGGCUCAACCUGGGAAUUGCAGUGGAUACUGGCAAGCUAGAGUGCGGUAGAGGAUGGUGGAAUUCCCGGUGUAGCGGUGAAAUGCGUAGAGAUCGGGAGGAACACCCGUGGCGAAGGCGGCCAUCUGGACCAGCACUGACGCUGAGGCACGAAAGCGUGGGGAGCAAACAGG
rnacentral:rRNA from 1 species